AACAUUGGUACAUUUUGGAGCAAUAAUAUUGCACUAUCAGUGCUAACUACCUGGUCUAGCUAAUGAAACGUUGCACGGAAGCUCAGGUCAAGUUAACUAGCUAGCUAAUAACGAGUUCACAUCUGCUAGCCAUUAGUUGCUGACUAGAUAUCCACUUAUUUUUGCUUCAAAGCCACGCAAUUACAUGACCUGGUCUUGGCUUCUCAAUUACCUGCAGCUAUCAACUGCUGGGAGUGUCCCGGUCGAAUAUGAUUGAAUGACCCUGGUCGUGUGUGUCACACAUGAGUGGUACAUAUGUGUGUGUCUUUAUAGACUGUCGUGCCCUUCUGGCAUGGUGUAUGAGGUGAAGAGCCUUUUGACUGAGCCUGGAGGAGACAGCCUUCGAACGCCCACCACGUCGACACACGCACACACAAACGCACACACCUGUCGCGCGCAGCUGCUCGGCUGUCCCUUAGAAGAGCUUUCACGCAGAGCCCAGAGUGACCUCUCCCCCCCCCCCUCUCCUCUGUGUCACACACAAACUCGCUUCUGGCGCGAUGCCAGGCAGCGCUCCAACAGCACUUGAGCAGUAGCUUGGGGGGGGGGGGGGUCAUAGUCGGCUGGCAUUACCGGGGAUAUGACACCCCUCGCAGUCUCCUCCUCCCCUGCCAUUUGCUUUUUUAUCUCCCGCUCCCAUUCAGAUGCCUCACCCCGGCCGAGUAGAGGCCUCUCACAACGCUCUCCAGGGUCUCGGGGGGGCGGGCAGUCCCAUGCACCAGCGGAACUCCUCUACCCAGAAUCCUCGGCUGCAGGCGGAGGGCUCCUUCGGCCUCGGGGGACCAGGAGGGCCCGGAGGGGAGGGGCCCGACCACACGCUCGACGGGAGGAACGUCCACAGAUUCUGCUAUGACAACCCUUCUCCCUGAGCUGACUAACCCGGACGAACUGUUAUCCUAUCUGGGCCCGCCGGACCUCCCUAACAACAGCAAUGACGACCUGCUCUCUCUGUUCGAGAACAACUAAGACCUAUGGACACACCUCUCCUAACCCUAACCCCCCCCCACACACACACACCUUUUCUCCAAAAUGGUCUGCUCCGCGAGAUACACUGAGACAGCCGGGACUCUCCAAAGAAGAUACAGUUGGCCCACUACACUAUGAACCAAGAGAGGGGGGUUGACCCCCCUCUUUCAGUCCGAGUGUCGUUGUAUUAUGUGUCCCUUUUUAAAAGCGUCUCAUGGAGAAUCCACACUGAAGAGGCGCACUGUUCAAAUGGGAACAGUGCUCCUCCGCAGUGGUGUUUCUGUGUUUCUAAAGCAAAAGGACUUGCCUUUUUUUUUUUUUUUUUUCACAUGAUUUCGCGAGAAGAAGAAAAAGACGGAAAAAAGAAAAAAAAGUUUUACGUUAACUACUACGUAUUUAUAAUGAGAACCCCUAAAAAGAAAAAUCCUCUUUUAAGCUUAUUUAUAAAUGAGAAGUUGACCUUUGUCACACGUGAAGUAACACAAAGCCAGCAAACAUGUGUAAAGGUUCAUGGUCUGCCGGCCCCUACCAGAGACAGCUGUGAAAGGUGAUCAGUCCAGAUCGUAAACGGAGAAACCCAACAUGGUCCGUGAACAGUGCACUGAGAGGAUGAAAGACGGUCACACGGCGAACAGAAAAAGGGCCCAGUGUGUAUUGGGGGGGGGAUAGGAGGGGAAAACGUGGGAAGGGAGAAGGGUAAGGAGUGGCUCCAGGCCGUUGGUUCUGUAGACGUACACAUGUAGACGUACACAUGUAGACGUACACACAAGGGCGAUUCUGAAUCCCAGCCCCGCUCUCUGUCCUCCUGUAGCCACUGUGUAGCAUCUGUGGUACUGUGCUUCUCUCAUAUUCACCCUCCUCCUCGUUUUAACGUGACAUCAGAGAUCAGCGGGAACCCUCCACAUACUACUGAGACAGACACGCAUUCUCUGUUUCGCACACAAACAUAAAACACAACACAGGGUCACUGUGAAGUGGAACUAAAUUUGGAAAAAAAAGAGGGGUGGAAAUAGGUGAGCAGAACCCCCCCCCCCCCCCCCCCCCCCUCCAACUAUUUAUUUGUAUUCCAAGGACAUGUUCCAACACUGUGCCAUUACUUGUUGAGUUGUAGAGUGCCCAUUCUCCCUCUUAGUGUCUUUGCUGAGAAAAAGUGAGUGAAUUUACCUGUGCUGUCAGCAGUUGUUGGUCUCACUUGCCAUAUGAAUAUGUUUGUAUUACAUUUGUACAUUGUUUGUAUGAUAAACAUUAAAGGGAUAGUUCACCUAAAUUAAACAAUUCAUUUAUGUGUUGUAUUGUCUUGAAAGCAUCCAAAGGUCAUUAUAACAGUGACCUUCUAUACUCCUGAUCUUUGAAGUAUGCUUUCAAGGUAAUUUAAUGAUGAUGUAAUUUUUAAAUGUGGUUGAACUAUUUCUUUAGGAGCACAACUAUUUUAUGUACAGUCUGCAAAUGUUUUCAUUCGAGAACGUGUGUGUAUCAUAAUCAUAAGCAUUGUAAUAUUAUUGUUAUUAGCAGAGUAAGUGGGUACAGAUAUUUAGUUGAAGUGUGUAUGUCUUUUAUAGGCAAUGUUAACUUGCAGUUGAGGUUUGUGGAAAAUGUGUCACAUUCAUGCAAGCACAAUACGAUUGUGCAUAUAGGGGCACACAAGACUCAACUCUAGUUGAUGGUAUUUACAUGCUUCUGAUAGAAUACCCACUGAUUUAAGAUAAAUCUGAAUUUAUUCGGCUUGUAUACCAUUUUCUAUUUGAGCAUACCACAACAGCUGAACGAGAUAUCUGCAAAGCAAGUUUUUUUUUCUUCCCUUUUCUAUUCCAGCAUUGUCACUUGUGAAUGCAAUCAUGGCAUUUGGAAUUGUCUUAGAUAUCCUGCCGAACAACAUAGCUGAAAUCAGUUUUCUUUUUUUAAAGAUGAUGUAAAAUAUUUCCAUUAUGUUUUAUAAAUAAAAGUGUCAGUUCUGACCGCA